GAUGAAGAACGCAGCGAAAUGCGAUAAGUAAUGUGAAUUGCAGAAUUCAGUGAAUCAUCGAAUCUUUGAACGAACAUUGCGCCCGCCAGUAUUCUGGCGGGCAUGCCUGUCCGAGCGUCAUUUCAACCCUCAAGCCCCCGGGCUUGGUGUUGGAGAUCGGCGAGCCCCCCGGGGCGCGCCGUCUCCCAAAUAUAGUGGCGGUCCCGCUGUAGCUUCCUCUGCGUAGUAGCUCACCUCGCACUGGGAAACAGCGUGGCCACGCCGUAAAACCCCCCACUUCUGAAAGGUUGACCUCGGAUCAGGUAGGAAUACCCGCUGAACUUAAGCAUAUCAAUAAGCGGAGGA
rnacentral:misc_RNA from 1 species